rnacentral:rRNA from 1 species
GGGUUGUGAGGUUAAGCGACUAAGCGUACACGGUGGAUGCCCUGGCAGUCAGAGGCGAUGAAGGACGUGCUAAUCUGCGAAAAGCGUCGGUAAGGUGAUAUGAACCGUUACAGCCGGCGAUGUCCGAAUGGGGAAACCCAGUGCAAUUCGUUGCACUAUCGUUAACUGAAUACAUAGGUUAACGAGGCGAACCGGGGGAACUGAAACAUCUAAGUACCCCGAGGAAAAGAAAUCAACCGAGAUUCCCCCAGUAGCGGCGAGCGAACGGGGAGCAGCCCAGAGUCUGAAUCAGCUUGUGUGUUAGUGGAACGGUCUGGAAAGUCCGACGGUACAGGGUGAUAGUCCCGUACACCAAAAUGCACAGGUUGUGAACUCGAAGAGUAGGGCGGGACACGUGGUAUCCUGUCUGAAUAUGGGGGGACCAUCCUCCAAGGCUAAAUACUCCUGACUGACCGAUAGUGAACCAGUACCGUGAGGGAAAGGCGAAAAGAACCCCGGCGAGGGGAGUGAAAAAGAACCUGAAACCGUGUACGUACAAGCAGUGGGAGCACCUUCGGGUGUGACUGCGUACCUUUUGUAUAAUGGGUCAGCGACUUAUAUUCUGUAGCAAGGUUAACCGUAUAGGGGAGCCGCAGGGAAACCGAGUCUUAACUGGGCGUUAAGUUGCAGGGUAUAGACCCGAAACCCGGUGAUCUAGCCAUGGGCAGGUUGAAGGUUGGGUAACACUAACUGGAGGACCGAACCGACUAAUGUUGAAAAAUUAGCGGAUGACUUGUGGCUGGGGGUGAAAGGCCAAUCAAACCGGGAGAUAGCUGGUUCUCCCCGAAAGCUAUUUAGGUAGCGCCUCGUGAAUUCAUCUUCGGGGGUAGAGCACUGUUUCGGCUAGGGGGUCAUCCCGACUUACCAACCCGAUGCAAACUACGAAUACCGAAGAAUGUUAUCACGGGAGACACACGGCGGGUGCUAACGUCCGUCGUGAAGAGGGAAACAACCCAGACCGCCAGCUAAGGUCCCAAAGUCACAGUUAAGUGGGAAACGAUGUGGGAAGGCACAGACAGCCAGGAUGUUGGCUUAGAAGCAGCCAUCAUUUAAAGAAAGCGUAAUAGCUCACUGGUCGAGUCGGCCUGCGCGGAAGAUGUAACGGGGCUAAACUGUGCACCGAAGCUGCGGCAGCGACACUAUGUGUUGUUGGGUAGGGGAGCGUUCUGUAAGCCUGCGAAGGUGGCCUGUGAGGGUUGCUGGAGGUAUCAGAAGUGCGAAUGCUGACAUAAGUAACGAUAAUGCGGGUGAAAAGCCCGCACGCCGGAAGACCAAGGGUUCCUGUCCAACGUUAAUCGGGGCAGGGUGAGUCGACCCCUAAGGCGAGGCCGAAAGGCGUAGUCGAUGGGAAACAGGUUAAUAUUCCUGUACUUGGUGUUACUGCGAAGGGGGGACGGAGAAGGCUAUGUUAGCCGGGCGACGGUUGUCCCGGUUUAAGCAUGUAGGCGGAGGUUCCAGGUAAAUCCGGUACCUUUUUAACGCUGAGGUGUGAUGACGAGGCACUACGGUGCUGAAGUAACAAAUGCCCUGCUUCCAGGAAAAGCCUCUAAGCAUCAGGUAACAUUAAAUCGUACCCCAAACCGACACAGGUGGUCAGGUAGAGAAUACCAAGGCGCUUGAGAGAACUCGGGUGAAGGAACUAGGCAAAAUGGUGCCGUAACUUCGGGAGAAGGCACGCUGAUAUGUAGGUGAAGCCCCUGCGGGUGGAGCUGAAAUCAGUCGAAGAUACCAGCUGGCUGCAACUGUUUAUUAAAAACACAGCACUGUGCAAACACGAAAGUGGACGUAUACGGUGUGACGCCUGCCCGGUGCCGGAAGGUUAAUUGAUGGGGUUAUCCGUAAGGAGAAGCUCUUGAUCGAAGCCCCGGUAAACGGCGGCCGUAACUAUAACGGUCCUAAGGUAGCGAAAUUCCUUGUCGGGUAAGUUCCGACCUGCACGAAUGGCGUAAUGAUGGCCAGGCUGUCUCCACCCGAGACUCAGUGAAAUUGAACUCGCUGUGAAGAUGCAGUGUACCCGCGGCAAGACGGAAAGACCCCGUGAACCUUUACUAUAGCUUGACACUGAACAUUGAGCCUUGAUGUGUAGGAUAGGUGGGAGGCUUUGAAGCGUGGACGCCAGUCUGCGUGGAGCCAACCUUGAAAUACCACCCUUUAAUGUUUGAUGUUCUAACGUUGGCCCCUUAUCGGGGUUGCGGACAGUGUCUGGUGGGUAGUUUGACUGGGGCGGUCUCCUCCCAAAGAGUAACGGAGGAGCACGAAGGUUAGCUAAUCCUGGUCGGACAUCAGGAGGUUAGUGCAAUGGCAUAAGCUAGCUUGACUGCGAGCGUGACGGCGCGAGCAGGUGCGAAAGCAGGUCAUAGUGAUCCGGUGGUUCUGAAUGGAAGGGCCAUCGCUCAACGGAUAAAAGGUACUCCGGGGAUAACAGGCUGAUACCGCCCAAGAGUUCAUAUCGACGGCGGUGUUUGGCACCUCGAUGUCGGCUCAUCACAUCCUGGGGCUGAAGUAGGUCCCAAGGGUAUGGCUGUUCGCCAUUUAAAGUGGUACGCGAGCUGGGUUUAGAACGUCGUGAGACAGUUCGGUCCCUAUCUGCCGUGGGCGCUGGAGAAUUGAGGGGGGCUGCUCCUAGUACGAGAGGACCGGAGUGGACGCAUCACUGGUGUUCGGGUUGUCAUGCCAAUGGCAUUGCCCGGUAGCUAAAUGCGGAAGAGAUAAGUGCUGAAAGCAUCUAAGCACGAAACUUGCCCCGAGAUGAGUUCUCCCUGAGACUUUAAGUCUCCUGAAGGAACGUUAAAGACGAUGACGUUGAUAGGUCGGGUGUGUAAGCGUAGCGAUACGUUGAGCUAACCGAUACUAAUGAACCGUGAGGCUUAACCUUACAACGCCGAAGGUGUUU